GCAUUAAUGGGGUAGUGGUAACCUGGGUCGUUGCCAAAGAAUUGUAAUCUCAAUUCGACCCGCCGGGGGUUCGAUUCCCUCUUAAUGCA